GUUAAACUUCUCAGAGCUAGAAACUUUGCUUCUUUCAGAGUUAAAAAUGAAAACUGUGGUAGGACCAAUUUUUCUCUCUGUCUUCUGCGAUUUCUCAGUCCAGACCUUGUAUUUCUGAAAUUUCUUUAUACUGCAACUAGGGUGGAGGAAGCGUAAGUCUAGGCAAAAAGAUGCUAAUAGCUGAUGUCAUCUAGGCUUACCCAAAGCAGGAACUGAUGUUCCUGUAGUCAAACCAAUUGGGAAAAUUUCACUGUUAUUUUUCUUAUUCUGCCUCCCAUGUGACAGCAGGGUAAGCAGUUAAUAUGCAUAGCAUUAAUAGGUUGCUGAACAGGGAUUGCUGUUGCUCAGCAAUUUCAUGAGCUAUUGCUCAUUUAUUUCAUAGGCAAAGAUUCAUUAUGUUAUCUUUAUAAUAUUCCUUGUUGAUUAGCCUUGAAGGUGUAAUUUCUCAGAAGAUUACAAGAGCCGGUAUGGAAUGAGUGUUUGACAUUAAAAUGAAAUGUUACUUGUGGAAAGUAUCUGUUACGUAAUAUCUAGGAUAAGAUACAAGUAUUAUUUGUUAUAUAAGCCUGGUCAGCUUGUUAGAAAUAGUUUUCUACUUCCUGUCACUCUUAGCUGAGUUUAAAAUCAAAUCAAAGUUUGUCUCUGCUUGAUAUAACUGAAGUUGACUUCUUUGAGCUGAACUUUUUCACAGUGCAGAGAGAGAAAAAAAAAGCAAGAUGUCCUCAGUUUAUUCUUAUCAGUCAUAGGAAUCGAAAUUAUUGUUUGUAGUAUUCUGGAAAAAAAAAAAAAAAAAAGGUCUUGGUUGAUGAAUUUGAGAAGAAAGAAGCCUAAUGUGUGUUAGUUAAACUAUGCAAGCUGUGAUACUAUUGCGUGUGCAUCUUGGUGAUUGCUUCUGUGAAAAGAAAGCUAAAUUUGCAAGAGUGAACCAGGAAUCUACUGACUUGAGCUCAAACAAGGUACCUCUUUUUAACUUCUGUAAGUUAAAGCCAUAGGAGAAAUUUGUUUUCAAAAUCAAGUUUGUUAGUUUUUUGGUGUGCUGCUGGAUU
rnacentral:lncRNA from 1 species